UGAUAGGCCGUAUAGACAUGCCCCUGUCGUAAAUCAGUAAAAACCAUACCCAUGAUCAUGUAACUCAGACACAGCUGUCCAUGCCCUGCUGAACUUCAUCCAUAAAAAUACCAGCCCAAUUUCCAAAUAAAUUGGACUUUUCCCUCCAUGCUCCUAAUGAGUUUUGUACCUAUAGGAUGUAGCCUUUUAACUCUGUUUCAUGAAGCAAGGCAAUGAGAAUAAUUUAUAUUUAUUUCUGUACUUUUCAGAGAAACUUACUGAAGAAGUUGUGAAACGAGAUCUAGAAAUUGGCAAACGAGAUACAGAAGUUGAGAAACGAGAUCAAGAAAUAAGCAAACGAGAUAUAGAAAUUGACAAACAAGAUAAAGACAUAA